GACGAACGCUGGCGGCGUGCUUAACACAUGCAAGUCGAACGGAAAGGCCCUGCUUGCAGGGUACUCGAGUGGCGAACGGGUGAGUAACACGUGGGUGAUCUGCCCUGCACUUCGGGAUAAGCCUGGGAAACUGGGUCUAAUACCGGAUAGGAGCCAUUUUUAGUGUGAUGGUUGGAAAGUUUUUUCGGUGUAGGAUGAGCUCGCGGCCUAUCAGCUUGUUGGUGGGGUAAUGGCCUACCAAGGCGGCGACGGGUAGCCGGCCUGAGAGGGUGGACGGCCACAUUGGGACUGAGAUACGGCCCAGACUCCUACGGGAGGCAGCAGUGGGGAAUAUUGCACAAUGGGCGCAAGCCUGAUGCAGCGACGCCGCGUGGGGGAUGACGGCCUUCGGGUUGUAAACUCCUUUCGCUAAGGACGAAGCUUUUUGUGACGGUACCUAGAUAAGAAGCACCGGCUAACUACGUG
rnacentral:rRNA from 1 species